rnacentral:lncRNA from 1 species
CUAGAUGUCAGGUUCCUCCUAACUAAAACACUCAGGGUCACUCCAGGGGAACUGGGCUGCACAAGAGACAGAGAUACCUUUUUCUUUAGGGUCCUGUGACGGCUCCUCUGACCUUAGGGGUCCACAGAAAGAGAGGGAGCCAGCGCGUGCUGAACCCUUUUACUGGGGAGAAGCCAUUCAAACGAGGCAAGGGGUCAGGAAGGCCACACCCAAAGGCAGAGCAAUAGAAGGGGACACACAGAGGGCAUUUCCAGGGAACAUUCUGUCCCAAACAAGGCAAAGAGGUAAAUCACAAAGGAACAGCUGAGGUAGCUCAACCCAUGGGGCGACACAUCUCCAUCUGAAGACAUGCUCUCAAGCUUCUUGGACCAGGGCAAUGUCCAGGUCACUGUGAGAUGUAGGAAUCAGUCAGAGCCUCUCUGCUCCAGGAUGGAAAGCGUGGAUCAUUCAGAGUGGCUCCCCACCACUAGAAACACAGUUGUAUCCCGAAAGUCCACAUGGGGGUCCUUCGGGGUUCUCUGAACACUUCCUCUCUCCCCUCUGGCUUCACAAGAACACAUUAGGACAUACACCCCCACAUGAUACUCACUGGAAGAGACAAGUAAACAGCCAUUUACAACAAAUAUCAUAAGCACAAUAACGGAGGUCAAUCAGGGGGAUGAGGAGACCAGGAGAACUGGCAUCCGAUGGUUCUGGAGGACCCAGGAGGCCCACCUAGAAAAAGUGGUCCCUGAAUGAGGUCCUGAGUAAUAAAGAAAAGCUAUCCAGACAAAACACGGGGACAGUAACUCACAGGGCAGGACUAGAGUCGAGAAAAAUCAGAUUUAAGAAGUGCAUUUGUCAGGUCAAACCAGCUGCCGUGACAAAUAGUCCCAACAUUUCAAUGACUUCACAAAACCCCAGCCUCAUCUACCUCAUGGGGCAGCGAUCCAGAGUGGGUGUCCCUGGGCAGGUAGCACUCUGGUCAUCUCUCUUCCAAGUGGACCAGGCUCCUGCCACCUAAGACUCUGGGAUGGGGUGAGGAGAAUCCAUGAGGAGAUGUUUGGGUGAAUGCCUUAUUUUCUGGGUCAACAUCUUGGGGGGCAAUCCCUGCACACCUCUCAGUCUGGACCACCCAUCACAUAAAUGACGUGGAACUAUUUCCUCAAUUGUCCAAGCAGCUAUGACGGCCCGAGAUGCAGAGGGGAGGAGCCAAUUCAUGCAGCGACACUGUGGGGGGUCAGGGCUGAACUCGGGGGGCUGCCGCUCAUCCUGUUCGUCAAACCCUGGGACGCCGUGAGGACCUGGUUCAUUCAGAAAACCAAACUCAUCACUUUCAAAGCCCAAGACUCACCGUGAAGAAGUUUAAAGUACAUUCCCAAAAUGUAAAAGCAAAUAUUCUGUGGGCUGCGGCCUUGGAAGCAGACUGUGGAGGGUUAAAAGCCAACAGUCCUCGCACAGAUGAAAGGCCCAGCGGGUCCUGGCCAGGCUUCCCUGAGGGCACCCCCAGCCCAGCCUGCAGCUCCUGGGGGUGAGAAGGAGGUGAGGAUAGGAAGGGAGUGGAGGGCCCCUGGUGAGCAGGGAGGGCUUUGGACGUCUGGGCUCUCGGGGCCUGUGUCCAGGCUCCCACACACCCGCACAGCAGCGUCUCCUGGGAAGGGUGUUGUUCGGCAGCUUCCAAGGC